UACGUAGGGACCAAGCGUUGUCCGGAAUCAUUGGGCGUAAAGCGCGCGUAGGUGGCCAUUUAAGUCCGCUGUGAAAGUCAGAGGCUCAACCUUUGAAAGCCGGUGGAUACUGGAUGGCUAGAGUACGGAAGAGGCGAGUGGAAUUCCUGGUGUAGCGGUGGAAUGCGCAGAUAUCAGGAGGAACACCAAUAGCGAAGGCAGCUCGCUGGGACGUUACUGACACUAAGGCGCGACAGCGUGGGGAGCAAACAGG
rnacentral:rRNA from 1 species